rnacentral:rRNA from 1 species
ACAAAGAAGAGUUUGAUCUUGGCUCAGGGUGAACGCUAGCGGCAGGCUUAACACAUGCAAGUCGAGGGGCAUCGCGGAGUAGCAAUACUCUGGCGGCGACCGGCGGAAGGGUGCGUAACACGUGAGCAACUUGCCCGUCACAGGGGGAUAAGCGCUGGAAACGGCGUCUAACAUCCCAUAACAUAUCGUAUCGCAUGGUAUGAUAUUGAAAACUCCGGUGGUGACGGAUGGGCUCGCGGGGCAUUAGGUAGACGGCGGGGUAACGGCCCACCGUGCCGACGAUGUCUAGGGGUUCUGAGAGGAAGAUCCCCCACACUGGGACUGAGACACGGC